AUUGAACGCUGGCGGCAGGCCUAACACAUGCAAGUCGAACGAGUGGCGGACGGGUGAGUAAUGUCUGGGAAACUGCCCGAUGGAGGGGGAUAACUACUGGAAACGGUAGCUAAUACCGCAUACCAUCGGAUGUGCCCAGAUGGGAUUAGCUAGUAGGUGGGGUAACGGCUCACCUAGGCGACGAUCCAGAGCUGGUCUGAGAUGAUGACCAGCCACAAUGGAACUGAGACCCGGUCCGGACUCCUACGGGAGGCACAAGUGGGGAAUAUUGCACAAUGGGAGCAAGCCUGAUGCAGCCAUGCCGCGUGUAUGAAGAAGGCCUUCGGGUUGUAAAGUACUUUCAGCGAGGAGGCGUUACUCGCAGAAGAAGCACCGGCUAACGCCGUGCCAGCAGCCGCGGUAAUAC
rnacentral:rRNA from 1 species